GCAGCGGCUUGGCGACGGCGGCGAGCGCGUCGGCGCUGGUGCCGCCGGAGUCGACGCUCGCGCACGCCGUACGCGGCUUCGGGGGCCGCUCGCCGCCC
rnacentral:tRNA from 1 species